CUACAAAGGAAGUUGACGGGGCCCGCACAAGCGGUGGAGCACGUGGUUUAAUUCGAUGAUACGCGAGGAACCUUACCUGGGCUCGAACGUAAGAUGACUGUAGGUGAAAGCUUACAUCUCUUCGGAGCAUUUUACGAGGUGCUGCAUGGUUGUCGUCAGCUCGUGCCGUGAGGUGUCGGGUUAAGUCCCAUAACGAGCGCAACCCUACCUUUAGUUGCCAUCAGGUAAUGCUGGGGACUCUAAAGGAACUGCCUACGCAAGUAGUGAGGAAGGCGGGGAUGACGUCAAAUCAGCACGGCCCUUACGUCCAGGGCUACACACGUGCUACAAUGGCCGAUACAGAGGGCAGCUACCUGGUGACAGGAUGCAAAUCUCCAAAGUCGGUCUCAGUUCGGAUCGGAGUCUGCAACCCGACUCCGUGAAGUUGGAUUCGCUAGUAAUCGCGCAUCAGCCAUGGCGCGGUGAAUACGUUCCCGGGCCUU
rnacentral:rRNA from 1 species